GACGAACGCUGGCGGCGUGCUUAACACAUGCAAGUCGAACGGAAAGGCCCUGCUUUUGUGGGGUGCUCGAGUGGCGAACGGGUGAGUAACACGUGAGUAACCUGCCCUUGACUUUGGGAUAACUUCAGGAAACUGGGGCUAAUACCGGAUAGGAGCUCCUGCUGCAUGGGGGGGGUUGGAAAGUUUCGGCGGGUGGGGCUGGACUCGCGGCUUAUCAGCUUGUUGGUGGGGUAGUGGCUUACCAAGGCUUUGACGGGUAGCCGGCCUGAGAGGGUGACCGGCCACAUUGGGACUGAGAUACGGCCCAGACUCCUACGGGAGGCAGCAGUGGGGAAUAUUGCACAAUGGGCGGAAGCCUGAUGCAGCAACGCCGCGUGCGGGAUGACGGCCUUCGGGUUGUAAACCGCUUUCGCCUGUGACGAAGCGUGAGUGACGGUAAUGGGUAAAGAAGCACCGGCUAACUACGUG
rnacentral:rRNA from 1 species